UCGGGAAUUUUGGGCAAUGGGCGAAAGCCUGACCCAGCAACGCCGCGUGAAGGAUGAAGUAUUUCGGUAUGUAAACUUCGAAAGAAUAGGAAGAAUAAAUGACGGUACUAUUUAUAAGGUCCGGCUAACUACGUGCCAGCAGCCGCGGUAAUACGUAGGGACCAAGCGUUGUUCGGAUUUACUGGGCGUAAAGGGCGCGUAGGCGGUGUGUCAAGUCAGUUGUGAAAUCUCCGAGCUUAACUCGGAACGGUCAACUGAUACUGUCACACUAGAGUACAGAAGGGGCAAUCGGAAUUCUUGGUGUAGCGGUGAAAUGCGUAGAUAUCAAGAGGAACACCUGAGGCGAAGGCGGGUUGCUGGGCUGAUACUGACGCUGAGGCGCGAAAGCUAGGGUAGCAAACGGGAUUAGAUACCCUCGUAGUCCCUGAGCGGGCUGGCAAGGCGCAU
rnacentral:rRNA from 1 species